GGCACUAUGGCCGAGUGGUUAAGGCGACAGAUUUGAAUUCUCAUUAUCUGUUGGGAUCUCCCGCGCAGGUUCGAACCCUGCUGGUGUCG